GCUUCCUUGGCUCAGUUGGUAGAGCGUUGGUCUCAUAGGUUAUAUAUGAGUGGCUGGAUCAGUUGCGCAAUCCAAAGGUCGCCAGUUCGAGCCUGGCAGGGAGCA